rnacentral:rRNA from 1 species
UUAAGGAAUGAAGGGCACACAGUGAAUGCCUAGGCACUAAGAGCCGAAGAAGGACGCAACUAACGGCGAAACGCCACGGGGAGCAGUAAGUACGCGACGAUCCGUGGGAAUCCGAAUGGGGAAACCCACCACAUGGAAGAUGUGGUAUCCAAUUUAUUGGAGGGAAAACGCAGGGAACUGAAAUAUCUAAGUACCUGCAGGAAAAGAAAGUAACAACGAUUCUGGUAGUAGUGACGAGCGAACCCGGAAGAGCCAAACACCAUAAUAGUAAAAAAACUUACUGAUUAAGCGAAUGGCGUGGGAAAGCCAACCGAAGAGGGUGAGAGUCCUGUAGUUGAAAAUCAAAGGACUAGGGUGUUAAAAAGUACGGCGAGACACGAGAAAUCUUGUCGGAAGAUGCGAGGACCAUCUCGUAAGGCUAAAUACUCCUUAGUGACCGAUAGUGAACCAGUACCGUGAGGGAAAGGUGAAAAGAACCCCGGGAGGGGAGUGAAAUAGAACCUGAAACUGUGUGCUUACAAGUAGUCAAAGGCCGUUAAUGGCUGAUGGCAUGCCUUUUGUAGAAUGAACCGGCGAGUUACGGUAUCUGGCAAGGUUAAGCUUUAAGGAGCGGAGCCGAAGCGAAAGCGAGUCUGAAUAGGGCGUUAAGUCAGGUGCUGUAGACCCGAAACUGGGUGAGCUAGCCAUGAGCAGAGUGAAGUUUGGGUAAGACCAAAUGGAGGCUCGAACGAGGGAUUGUUAAAAAAAUCUUCGAUGACUUGUGGCUAGGGGUGAAAUUCCAAUCGAACUCAGAGAUAGCUGGUUCUCCCCGAAAUAGCUUUAGGGCUAGCGUCGGCGUAAAGUUUUGUGAAGGUAGAGCACUGAAUGUGUGAUGGCCCCACCUCGGGGUACUGAGCCCAAUCAAACUACGAAUGUCACAAAAUAUAGCCGGCAGUCAGACUGUGGGUGAUAAGGUUCAUGGUCAAAAGGGAAAGAGCCCAGACCGCCAGAUAAGGUCCCAAAAUUGAUGCUAAGUGGAAAAGGAAGUAGGGAUGCACAAACAACUAGGAGGUUGGCUUAGAAGCAGCCAUCCUUUAAAGAGUGCGUAAAAGCUCACUAGUCGAGUGACUCCGCGCCGAAAAUGUACCGGGGCUAAGCAUCAUACCGAAUCUGCGGAUUUAAAGAAAUUUAAGUGGUAGGGGAGCGUUCUUAGGGCGGUGAAGCCAGAUCGGAAGGACUGGUGGAGCGCUAAGAAGUGAGAAUGCCGGUGUAAGUAACGAAAAGACAGGCGAGAAUCCUGUCCGUCGAAAACCCAAGGUUUCCAGGGGAAGGUUCGUCCGCCCUGGGUAAGUCGGGGCCUAAGGUGAGGCUGAGAAGCGUAGCCGAUGGAUAGCAGGUAGAGAUUCCUGCACUAGUUAAGUAACUGAUGGAGUGACAGAGCAGGCUAACGUCCGCCCCUUAGUGGAUUGGGGACAAGGGAUCAAGGUUUGUGCGUAGGCAAAUCCGCGCACUAUAAGACUGAGAUCCGGUAGGUAAAGGAUGAUGACGUCAUACUUUCAAGAAAAGCUUCUAGGGUUAAUUAUUUAACUACCCGUACCGUAAACCGACACAGGUGGGAAGGUAGAAUAUACUAAGACGCGCGAGAAAACCCUUGUUAAGGAACUCGGCAUAAUGACUCCGUAACUUCGGGAUAAGGAGGACUUUUAAUGAAAAAGAAAGUCGCAGAGAAAAGGCCCAAGCGACUGUUUAUCAAAAACACAGGUCUAUGCAAAACCGUAAGGUGAAGUAUAUGGGCUGACGCCUGCCCGGUGCUGGAAGAUUAAGAGGAGAUGUCAUGAAAAGAAGCAUUGAAUUGAAGUCCCAGUAAACGGCGGCCGUAACUAUAACGGUCCUAAGGUAGCGAAAUUCCUUGUCAGGUAAGUUCUGACCCGCACGAAAGGCGUAACGAUUUGGGCACUGUCUCAACAA